rnacentral:rRNA from 1 species
AACGAACGCUGGCGGCAUGCCUAACACAUGCAAGUCGAACGCGACCUUCGGGUCUAGUGGCGCACGGGUGCGUAACGCGUGGGAACCUGCCCUUAGGUUCGGAAUAACUCCCCGACAGGGGUGCUAAUACCGGAUAAUGUCUUCGGACCAAAGAUUUAUCGCCUUUGGAUGGGCCCGCGUUGGAUUAGCUAGUUGGUAGGGUAAAAGCCUACCAAGGCGACGAUCCAUAGCUGGUCUGAGAGGAUGAUCAGCCACACUGGGACUGAGACACGGCCCAGACUCCUACGGGAGGCAGCAGUGGGGAAUAGUGGACAAUGGGCGAAAGCAUGAUCCAGCAAGGCCGCGAGAGUGAUGAAGGCCGUAGGGUUGUAAAGCGCUUUUACCCGGGAUGAUAAUGACAGUACCGGGAGAAUAAGCUCCGGCUAACUCCGUG